AAAGAGUACGUAGGCGGUGAUUCAAGUCAGAGGUGAAAGCCUGGAGCUCAACUCCAGAACUGCCUUUGAAACUAGAUCGCUAGAAUUGUGGAGAGGUUAGUGGAAUUCCGAGUGUAGAGGUGAAAUUCGUAGAUAUUCGGAAGAACACCAGUGGCGAAGGCGACUAACUGGACACAUAUUGACGCUGAGGUACGAAAGCGUGGGGAGCAAACAGGAUUAGAUACCCUUGU
rnacentral:rRNA from 1 species